GUGGUGUUGCUGCUUGGUGGCUUUGGUGGCAAGAUAGGGAUCAGGCUGAGACACACUGUUCUUUGUGCUGUCUACUGAAGUUCUGCAUUGUAGUGCUCCUUUGCAAUUAAAUGCUCCCAUCUUUAAGGUGAUGGUGAGGUAGCUGUAGUCUCCAGGCUCUGUGAUGUUCCCUGCUAGUGCUGCUGUUCUCCCUGAAGAAGACAGGCUGUUUGGCUGAAGGUGAUGGAGCCAUCCCCAUGGAGCUGUAACAGAACCUGGAUGGAAUAAACUCUUGCAGGAAAGGAUGCUGGGUCUGAUUCUCUGUUGCCUCGCAACCUGCUUCUGGUCCAGUGCAAAAAGGAUGAGAAAUACUGAAUGAACUAUUCCUAGUGGGGCAGGGGAAUAGCAGCACCAAGAGGAAAGCUUAGGUGGGAGCUGCAGUCCUUCCAUGCAAACGAGUCGCUGUCCAUUAUGAAGAGCUCCUGAGAAACCCGGCUCUGCCCUCCGCUAAUCUCACCCCUCCGAGCUUGCUGCCCGGCUGCGGGUGAGCGGUGCCCGGACGCUCCUCGUCCUCGGAGACGGUGUCAGCUCUCCGGGUUUGACGUUUUGAUAACCGAAAUGGGAUGAGGGCGAAGAAAGGAAAAUUUCCGAGUAUACCGCCGUGUUUGGAAAUAGAUUGACUGCCUGGGAUUUAUCUUUCUCUUAUUACACAAACCAGCCUCUUCCAUUGCACAGCUGGCCUGAAAAUCCCUGAAUUUUUGGGAAAGUAACUCAGUUGUUGGUUCCCUUUGCUUCUGCCUGCCUGUUGGUGAAGUUUACUACUGGCAGUUAACAAUUGCUUGCAUGCCAUUUGUCUGAUACCAAAAAAGCUUAGAUUGAAGGCAAUGCAGCUGCUUUCAAACUUCCAAGGUUGCUCAGUCUUUCACUGCUUUCUACAUGAGAAGCUUUUAUUUCUAUUUGUUAGGAGGGCCACAACCCACUGUGGGGCCAGCCCUCUACAAAUAGGGCUGUGAUGCACCUGAACUGUGGUGGUGAAGGGGUACAUUUGAAAGCUUCACCUGGUGCCAUUUCCUUCUGACUGCCUCGUGACUGAUUUAUCUGAGCAUACAGCUGUGCUUAUUUGUAGCCUUUUAUAGACACCUUUGUAUUGCCUAUGAUUAUUUUUGCUAUCACGGAAUCGGAUCUCAAGAAACUUAAAUUGGUGGGAUAUGUUGUUAAUUCUUGGGUUUUAACACUUCUGUGCUCACUGACAACAGUGCCAGUGGCUGUUAUUCUGAAAAGCUGUGACUCAG
rnacentral:lncRNA from 7 species